rnacentral:lncRNA from 1 species
CCCGGCAACGGCGCCAAAAAUGCUUGUUGUCACUUGCUAACACCACUUGAAUACUAGGUUGUCAUCCCCAGCACGGCACUAGAGUGUACUAUGGUAUUUAUACGCACACAGAUAAUCCGCAAGUGCACGGAUACCGUUGAAGCUUUUACCCCGUUAACGGUUUUAUCGUAUUCACAGGGAAACAGGAGAACCGACUACGCUCUAACUUAACCAAGAUAGAUAGAUAGGUGUAAAUAGGAAAGAUGGUAGAAUCGAAUAAGAACAACAUUAAAGGUAAGAUAACAGUGAGUGAUAAUAUGGGAAUAGAGAAUAGAGCAAUUCUAGUAUAUGGG